AACGAACGCUGGCGGCAUGCCUAACACAUGCAAGUCGAACGAGAACUUCGGGUCUAGUGGCGCACGGGUGCGUAACGCGUGGGAACCUGCCCUUAGGUUCGGAAUAACUCUCCGAAAGGGGUGAUAAUACCGGAUAAUGUCUUAGGACCAAAGAUUUAUUGAAUUUGGUGGGGCAAGCGUUGGAUUAGCUGGUUGGUGGGGUAAUAGCCUACCAAGGCGACGAUUCAUAGCUGGUUAGAGAGGAUGGUCAGCCACUCUGGGACGGGGACACGGCCCGGACUCCUACGGGAGGCAGCAGAGGGUGAUGGUGGACAAUGGGCGGAGUCCUGAUCCAGCAAUGCCGCGUGAGUGAUGAAAGCCGGAGGGUUGUAAAGCGCUUUUACCCGGGAUGAUAAUGACAGUACCGGGAGAAUAAGCUCCGGCUAACUCCGUG
rnacentral:rRNA from 1 species